rnacentral:rRNA from 1 species
UACAGAGGUCCCAAGCGUUGUUCGGAUUCACUGGGCGUAAAGGGUGCGCAGGUGGGUUGGCAAGUUCGAUGUGAAAGCCCCGGGCUUAACCCGGGAAUGGCAUUGGAAACUGCUGAUCUGGAGGAUCGGAGGGGGACUGGAAUUCUUGGUGUAGCAGUGAAAUGCGUAGAUAUCAAGAGGAACACCAGUGGCGAAGGCGAGUCCCUGGACGAUACCUGACACUGAGGCACGAAAGCCAAGGGAGCAAACAGG